AGAUCCUGUCUCAAAAAAUAAAAAAGUCAAAGAAGCCAGCUGUGCAUGAUGUGGUCCCUUUUGAGUUAAAACGAAACAAAAGGGACAGUGCCAAUGCUGCAAACGCAGACACUGCUGCAUGCUGGUUUGCACAGCUCUCAUUCCUGGAGAUCAAAGGUGGGCGUAGGGUGGGGGAAGGGUGGCUCACUCUCCCCAGUUUCCUUCUGUGCCCGGGAAGCAAAGGUGGGCGUGGGGUGGGGGAAGAGCGGCUCACUCUCGCCACUUUCCUUCUGUGCCCGGGAAGCAAAGGUGGGCGCGGGGUGGGGGAACCUCGGCCCACUCUCCCCAGUUUCCUUCUGUGCCCGGGAAGCAAAGGUGGGCACUGGGUGCGCCAAGGGCAGCUCACUCUCCCCAGUUCAGUUCUUUCUGUGCUGUCAGGGUUUCUUACCAUGUGGAUAGGCUACCUUGACUAUUCCUUUAACUGUUGUUACUUUACUUUUUUUGUGGAAUUAUGUUUCCUUGGUGUUUUAAUGUUACUUAAAUAUUUUUAGGUAUUAUGCAUAAAUUUUCAUUCACCUCCUAUUAGGACACAUUCCUUCAUUCCUGAAGCUCCGCAGGAGGAGGGACCCUGUCCCAGUGUUUGCAUCCUGGGAAGCUUGCAGGUCCGAGACCAGAUGACCAGAGAGUUGCCACUGAGCUGCAGGAGCUUCCACUCUGGCUGACCUGGCCUCAGGACUCCUCGGGGUGAGCCACAUGGAGUCCACAUGGAGGGACAGGUGUGAGCACCAAACAGGCCAGUGCAGCUGCUGGUUGUAACACUUCGCAGAACCAUCUUUUUGCGGCUCUUGAAUGUGAUUCUAGAGAUUCUGUGCUCUCGUUAAAAGCUCAAGUCAAAGUUCUGACUCCAUUUCCUAUGUUCAUGGUGAUUUUUUCUAGCAUGGCAUUUUGAUUUCCUUCUAUUAAAUAUUUCUCAACA